AAACGGCGUCGUUUGGUUCGCGCCCAGUGACCCUCCAAAUCCACCUCAGACCUCACUCUCUCGUUCUUAUCUCUCAACCUCUUUCUCCACCGAAAAUCGCCUCCGCCGCGCCGGAGGCGGCGGAGCUUGGUCAAUCAUCCCUCAUUCUUCUCGACUUGACCUUACAACCUUGAAUCCGCUAUUAGCUUCCUUCAAUUCCUCCUUCACUUCCCUAAAUCUAGCCUAAUAGCAAAACCCUAAAAAACUUCCAAAGCGAAAUUAAUCGAUAAAGAUGAAGAUACAGACCAUGAGACCUUAGGGGAAUCGUUCAGAACGCCGACGGUAUAAAAAGAGAGAGAUGGAUGGAAUUUCAAAUUUACCUGAGUGCAGAAGGAGAGCGAAGAUUGAGAACACCAGAGGGAGGCUCCAAGUGGCGGAAACGCGAAAUAAACGCGAGGAGGGAAAAGAAGACUUCAAUUUCAGGAUUGGCUAUGCCAUUUUCUUUUGCUUUGGUUUUGUAGGUUCGGAUCGUGACUGAGACAUGGUUUGAAGAAGAUGGUUCAUGACUGUUGGAGGAAGUCAGGAGAAUUUUCAGUCGAGGCGUCGGCUUGUAGAAGGCUUGGCCGAAUAUUGUUGCUGGCAGGCUAGUUGACAAUUGGAUAUGUGGUUAAUUUGAAUUGAAACGUACACGUGGCCGUCUUGAAUCAACUUUGAAUUAGGGCACCAGUUUGGAAUUGUGAUUGUUUUGAUGCUAAGGCCUCCGGUUCUAUUGGAAUCCAGCAGGUUCAGUUUCUUGAUGUAUGAACCGGUUCUGUUCAGCUCUUUUUUAUUUGCUGUCAGUUGUAAUUUAGAUGAAGGGUUGCAGGUUCUGAAUUGAUAAUUUUGUUAACAGGUAUGGUGUGGGUUGAUCUGAAUGUUAGUUUAGGAUGAAUUGGUGUUGUGAAGCUUGAGCAUGUAUGAUGUUUGAUAGGUUCAUUUAAUUUUGAAUGAAUGUUAGGAUAGGAACAAUUGAUGCUGAUAUGGUUUUUUGUUUGAAUGUGUGUGAUGUACAGGACUGUUUUGGUAUAGUGAUAUAUAGGGGCUUGAACUUGUUUCAUUGCUUUUUGUUGGAAAGAUUCGAUUCAGCAGGGUUGGCUUUCGGAUUCAAAUCGAUUUGUUUUGUGAAGCAAAUUUCCAUAAUUCUCUUCCGCAUGACCUCGGUAAAUUGAGUCUCUUCCACAAUGGAAUCUUCAUGAGCCUUGUCAGCUAACUUCAGGUGGUACCGCGUUCAUGGUCGACAAUCCGACACAACAAUAGUAGACUUUUCAGCCGGAACACUUUGAGGAUCCGCAGGAGCUGACAAAUACAUAGGAACUUUAAGCUUUUCACUGCCUUCAAAAUAGUACUGUCAUUGCUAUGAAGUUCUUAUGAGUCCUUCACUUUACUUUGCAUGGAAAAACUAUCCAUUUGAAAGUCUCCCUCAGUCUUGUGAUACUAUCACUACCAUAAUGGUUUACAUAACCAGUAGCGUGUUCCUUGCCUUACCAACAACAGUAAUAAAUAUAAUUUUGGAAAGAGGUUCAAUGGCGUGAUUUUUUUGGUGUAACUGUAAUGAAUAAUUGGACUUUUAAAUGAAUGUUUGAUUGUAAUUUGUAAUGGAUGUAAUUAUAUCUUUUCUUUUGAA